GACGAACGCUGGCGGUGUGCUUAACACAUGCAAGUCGAACGGAAGGGCCCUGCUUUUGUGGGGUGCUCGAGUGGCGAACGGGUGAGUAACACGUGAGUAACCUGCCCUUGACUUUGGGAUAACUUCAGGAAACUGGGGCUAAUACCGGAUAGGAGCUCCUGCUGCAUGGUGGGGGUUGGAAAGUUUCGGCGGUUGGGGAUGGACUCGCGGCUUAUCAGCUUGUUGGUGGGGUAGUGGCUUACCAAGGCUUUGACGGGUAGCCGGCCUGAGAGGGUGACCGGCCACAUUGGGACUGAGAUACGGCCCAGACUCCUACGGGAGGCAGCAGUGGGGAAUAUUGCACAAUGGGCGGAAGCCUGAUGCAGCAACGCCGCGUGCGGGAUGACGGCCUUCGGGUUGUAAACCGCUUUCGCCUGUGACGAAGCGUGAGUGACGGUAAUGGGUAAAGAAGCACCGGCUAACUACGUG
rnacentral:rRNA from 1 species